GGGCCAGUAGCUCAGCUGGUAGAGCAGGACACUCAUAAUGUCCCGAGUCGCAGGUUCGAGUCCUGCCUGGCCCACCA
rnacentral:tRNA from 1 species